rnacentral:lncRNA from 1 species
UCAGAUGGUUACUCAAAUUAUCCAACAAUAAACAACCAUAAUUAGCAACAUAUGAAAGAGAGCGAAGUGAAAGAUAUCACCAAAAUACAGAGUUUCGUCCAGCAGCCAUAUCUUACUAUCCGAAGCACAAAAUGACAAUCAAGCCGUUCAAAUUGAAGCCCCUGAAUGCAGUCAAAAUUUGAGCAAAAUCGGACUAUGGAUGAGCUUCGAUCGGAGAUGAUCUUCAAGACUGUUUUUUUUAUAUU